GGUACUCUAACAAGGAGAUAGAACACUGACGAAUGUCUCCAUAGGAAUAAACGGUGUGAAAUCGUAACGCCAAAACGUCGAAUGCCUGCUUAUCUCCCGCCUACUUGGCAACAAGAGCCAAUCGGUUGCUGAGCUGUGGCAUCAUUGAUCCAAUCAUCUCAUCGCAUCGACGCAAGCGCAAAAAAUAGCUUUUACGACGGCUCGUUCCUCAUCAGCUGUUGCCAUGUGUGUGGCACGUUUUCCGACCGUACCGUAACCAGGUAGUAUAAUGGGAUUUACCCGCCAGAUGUACAACAGUCUUGGGAAUCCUCAUACAGACGAAAGAUGCUGUCAGGAACCAACAUGAAUUUGUCAGACCACCAAUGCAGCAUGUAUGCACAGACUCCAGGGUUCCCCCCAGCAUUUCACAGAGAAGGCGGCCAUCUGGACGACAAACACCUACCACCUUGACCAUUUUGACUAACAAAUAUCAUCGUAAUGUUGCACCGUCAGGCAGGCAGUUGGUGCCACUUCCCUGCACCUCAAAGAGCCCCGCAACUGAAGCACUUCUCAGGGCUGCUGUAAAUUCUCGAGUUGUGGGGUGGAAGCGAUGCCCUCCUUUACCCCGGAUGACUGAGAAGAGGUUCUGCAAAAGAGGCAGUGGCUCUAGGUCUACAGAUGUGCCAGCCUGCUCCCACGGACCCUCCACGGUGUCCAUAGGACUGACCGGCUGCUUGAAAAUGACCGGGACGGCACCUGGAGCCAGACGUGUUCUUUUGCCCUUAAAGAGAAUACGGCAACUGUAAUGUGGACUGUAAUAGCUACUACUGUAAUAGUAUAAAAGUUAUCAUCCACAGAUGAAAAUAAAUACUUGGUCUCCUG